rnacentral:lncRNA from 1 species
CAAAGCUUGAGCCUAUGCAAUGUUUAAUUGGACAUUAAGCUAAUUUUAUCCAUUUAACUUGCAUUUGGGCAUUAACCCAAAGAACUAAUUAAGAUAAUUUUUAAUUAGGCCUACAUUUGAUAUAUGAUUUUAAGCUAUAUAUGUAAUUGUUUAAUUUUAAAAUGGGUCCUAAUUGACUGAAUGUUCUGAGAUAAUGGUUGAAUCUAUUUUGAGUUCAAAAACAAUAAAAAGGAUUUUUGUUUCAAAGCAAAAACAAAAGAUUUAACCAGACAUUGAACUGAUUUAUAUCUCUAGGGAAUGAAUUUUUUCUUAAAACUAGUCAUGUAUUGACUCUUUCGAGGAGUAAAGUGAUAUUUUACGUCAAACGUAAGAAUGUUAAUAUUAUGAAGGGUAAAUUUGAAAGCUUGGAAAGAAAUAUAGAA